CUCUCCUGUGCUGCUGCUUAAACCAGCACACAGACCAAGGCAGCCGAUCGAAUGAAACUACCUCGCCCUAGUGUCGGAGUCUUGCAGGAUGCAACAUCUGCGGCCAAGGUUGAGUAGAUUAGAGUUCGUUUACUUAGCACGACGGACUAGGCUGCUACCUUCUUCCUUUCCAGCCUCGGUGAACCAAACUCAAGACUGAAUGGACAUCGUGCUGACUGCAAUCGAGCACAUCCAUCUCGUCUCCCAUCUAUGACUAUAAGCUUGACAUCGAGGCCCUCCAGCUAAGGUGCAU